GGAGCCCGGAGCAGCACUGUGCCAGGGGGGAAUCGCCCAAGAAGGACAGGCUGGAGCUGGACCCAGUAUAACGGCUGCCAAGAGCUGCAUGGGGCUUGUGAAGAGCAAACCCAUGGACCUGGUACAGAUGUAGUCUCUUUACUUCACUUGUGUGUCUAUUCAAUAAACUGGAAUUUCAGGGUCACGUUCUGACUUCUCCUGUAUCACUGCAAACAAGAUGGUCAUAAAGAUCUUUCCAAGUUGAAAAAACAGAGAUUUCAGAGGAAAGGGCAGAAGAGCCAAUCUCUACACUCUAUCUUUUCAGAGCAUUGCCUGACACACUAGGAUUUUCUUUCGUAUGAUGUGCACUCCAUCAGUAAACUCUGUAGGAUGUCUAGAUCUGUAUAGACAAGCAUUGGCAGGGUCAGGGAUACACAGUAUUUCUGCUCUUUACUAAGUUUGGGAUAUGUAAAAAGCAAGUUGGAGAAGUUCAAUGCUUGCCCAUUUUUCAACUAAUGGUGAAUGAUCUGCUGGUAAAGGAAGAACAUUCAGUUCUGGAUCCAAGGUUGAUGAUGUUGACUAUCCCUCCAGAAGAUGACAACUCCUUCUCACAGACAUUUAUGCAUGCUCCUAAGUAAUUUGAUGUGCCACAUGUCGAAGGAAAUAAGAAAUGUCCUCACUCUACCCAAUUAAUUGGAUUUGGAAGUUUCCCAGUCUGAGCACUGAUGAAGAAGAACUGGUUUAUGGACAAGACUAGACUUCACUAGAUACAGUGGCAUAAAAUAAAUUGUUUAUUUUAUUGUACUCACUGUAGGCCUGGUCCUGCAAACACUUAAGCAUAAAAGUAACUUUAUGCAUGUGAAUAGCCCCGUAAAAAUCAGUGGGACUACUCCCAUGUAUAAAGUUACUCAUGUGCAUAAUUAGUUGCAGGAUUGGCAACUGUGGCCCUCAUCCUGUGACUUGUUGCACACCAGCCGA